rnacentral:rRNA from 1 species
GACGAACGCUGGCGGCGUGCUUAACACAUGCAAGUCGAACGGAAAGGCCCUGCUUUCGUGGGGUGCUCGAGUGGCGAACGGGUGAGUAACACGUGAGUAACCUGCCCUUGACUUUGGGAUAACUUCAGGAAACUGGGGCUAAUACCGGAUAGGAGCCCCUGCUGCAUGGUGGGGGUUGGAAAGUUUCGGCGGUUGGGGAUGGACUCGCGGCUUAUCAGCUUGUUGGUGGGGUAGUGGCAUACCAAGGCUUUGACGGGUAGCCGGCCUGAGAGGGUGACCGGCCACAAUGCGACUGAGAUACGGCCCAGACUCCAACGGGAGGCAGCAGUGGGGAAUAUGGCACAAUGAGCGGAAGCGUGAUGCAACAACGCCGCGUGCGGGAUGACGGCCUUCGGGUUGUGAACCGCUUUCGCCUGUGACGAAGCGUGAGUGACGGUAAUGGAUAAAGAAGCACCGGCUAACUACGUG